rnacentral:rRNA from 1 species
UCCGCCGCCAUAGGAUGGGUCUGCGGCCGAUUAGGUAGUUGUUGGGGUAACGGCCCAACAAGCCUGUAAUCGGUAAGGGUUGUGGGAGAAGAGGCCCGGAGAAGGAAUCUGAGACACGAUUCCUAGCCCUACGGGGCGCAGCAGGUGAGAAAAUUUUACAAUGCGCGCAACCGUGAUAAAGGAACCCAGAGUGCCUGUAUACGCAGGCUUUUCUUGGGUGUAAAAAGCCAGAGGAAAAAGGGCCGGGCAAGACCGGUGCCAGCCGCCGCGGUAAUACCGGCGGCUCGAGUGGUGGCCACUAUUAUUGGGCUUAAAGCGUCCGUAGCUUGUUUGGUAAGUCUCUUGGGAAAUCUGCUGGCUUAACCGUCAGGCGUGCAAGGGAUACUGGCAUGCUAGAGACCGGAAGAGGUGAGGGGUACGCCUGGGGUAGUGGUGAAAUCCUGUAAUCCUUGAGGGACCACCUGUGGCGAAGGCGCCUUGCCAGUACGGCUCCGACAGUGAGGGACGAAAGCUGGGGGAGCAAAACGGAUUAGAUACCCGGGUAGUCCCAGCAGUAAACAAUGCGCGUUAGGUGUAUCGACGACCACGAGAGGUAUUAGUGCCGAAGGGAAACUGUAAAACGAGCCGCCUGGGAAGUACGGUCGCAAGGCUGAAACUUAA